CCUACGGGUGGCAGCAGUGAGGAAUAUUGGUCAAUGGGCGGAAGCCUGAACCAGCCAAGUCGCGUGAGGGAAUAAGGCCCUACGGGUCGUAAACCUCUUUUGCCGGGGAGCAAGGGCGGGGACGUGUCCCGGCCCGGAGAGUACCCGGAGAAAAAGCAUCGGCUAACUCCGUGCCAGCAGCCGCGGUAAUACGGAGGAUGCGAGCGUUAUCCGGAUUUAUUGGGUUUAAAGGGUGCGUAGGCGGGCUUUUAAGUCAGCGGUAAAAAUUCGGGGCUCAACCCCGUCCGGCCGUUGAAACUGGGGGCCUUGAGUGGGCGAGAAGAAGGCGGAAUGCGUAGAUAUAUGGAAGAACACCAGUGGCGAAGGCGGCUCUCUGGUCUGCAACUGACACUGAGGCUCGAAAGUGUGGGUAUCAAACAGGAUUAGAUACCCCUGUAGUC
rnacentral:rRNA from 1 species